rnacentral:rRNA from 1 species
GUAACGGCGAGUGAAGCGGCAACAGCUCAAAUUUGAAAUCUGGCUCUCGGGCCCGAGUUGUAAUUUGUAGAGGAUGCUUUUGGUGAGGUGCCUUCCGAGUUCCCUGGAACGGGACGCCAUAGAGGGUGAGAGCCCCGUCUGGUUGGACACCGAUCCUCUGUAAAGCUCCUUCGACGAGUCGAGUAGUUUGGGAAUGCUGCUCUAAAUGGGAGGUAUAUGUCUUCUAAAGCUAAAUACCGGCCAGAGACCGAUAGCGCACAAGUAGAGUGAUCGAAAGAUGAAAAGAACUUUGAAAAGAGAGUUAAAAAGUACGUGAAAUUGUUGAAAGGGAAGCGCUUGUGACCAGACUUGGGCUUGGUUGAUCAUCCGGGGUUCUCCCCGGUGCACUCUUCCGGCUCAGGCCAGCAUCAGUUCGCCCUGGGGGAUAAAGGCUUCGGGAAUGUGGCUCUCUCCGGGGAGUGUUAUAGCCCGCUGCGUAAUACCCUGUGGCGGACUGAGGUUCGCGCAUUCGCAAGGAUGCUGGCGUAAUGGUCAUCAGUGACCCGUCUUGAAACACGGACCAAGGAGUCGUCUUCGUAUGCGAGUGUUCGGGUGUCAAACCCCUACGCGAAAUGAAAGUGAACGCAGGUGAGAGCUUCGGCGCAUCAUCGACCGAUCCUGAUGUUAUCGGAUGGAUUUGAGUAAGAGCAUACGGGGCCGGACCCGAAAGAAGGUGAACUAUGCCUGUGUAGGGUGAAGCCAGAGGAAACUCUGGUGGAGGCUCGCAGCGGUUCUGACGUGCAAAUCGAUCGUCAAACAUGGGCAUGGGGGCGAAAGACUAAUCGAACCUUCUAGUAGCUGGUUUCCGCCGAAGUUUCCCUCAGGAUAGCAGUGUUGAACUCAGUUUUAUGAGGUAAAGCGAAUGAUUAGGGACUCGGGGGCGCUAUUUAGCCUUCAUCCAUUCUCAAACUUUAAAUAUGUAAGAAGCCCUUGUUGCUUAAUUGAACGUGGGCAUUCG